rnacentral:rRNA from 1 species
AUUGAACGCUGGCGGCAGGCUUAACACAUGCAAGUCGAGCGGGGUGAUGGUGCUUGCACUAUCACUUAGCGGCGGACGGGUGAGUAAUGCUUAGGAAUCUGCCUAUUAGUGGGGGACAACAUCUCGAAAGGGAUGCUAAUACCGCAUACGUCCUACGGGAGAAAGCAGGGGAUCACUUGUGACCUUGCGCUAAUAGAUGAGCCUAAGUCGGAUUAGCUAGUUGGUGGGGUAAAGGCCUACCAAGGCGACGAUCUGUAGCGGGUCUGAGAGGAUGAUCCGCCACUGGGACUGAGACACGGCCCAGACUCCUACGGGAGGCAGCAGUGGGGAAUAUUGGACAAUGGGGGGAACCCUGAUCCAGCCAUGCCGCGUGUGUGAAGAAGGCCUUAUGGUUGUAAAGCACCUUAAGCGAGGAGGAGGCUCUUUUGGUUAAUACCCAAGAUGAGUGGACGUUACUCGCAGAAUAAGCACCGGCUAACUCUGUGCCAGCCGCCGCGGUAA